UCUGUCUAAGCACGUGCGCAUUUGGCUCGGAGCUGCUCUGCCCGGAGGUGUAGAGUUAGGAGCGGGUGGACCGAGCUUUAGGAGUCCACGAUUGAUCUGUGGACAUGUUAUCCUGCGUAGGCAUAGGCUGUGCGGUCAUCUGGGACGGAGUAGCUGUGGGCAGGGGAGCGGACAGUCCGUACCGCAGUGGUUUUUGGGACUCAAUUAGACCUUAUUGUGUGAUUCCUGAAUAGAAAGCAGACCUGUGGAAUGGUCAAGCUGUUGAUGAGCUCCUGGUUACCUUGUUGAAUACCUUGAUUUCAGAUGCAGAGGGACAACUUGGCACGAAAGAGCGACGGAGGAGGCGAGCCGAGCGCCGUAAGCAAGCAGGUGCGAAGCAAAGUGGAAAGCUGGGUAUCGGCAGCGCAGCUCCUCUGGCAAGAUGUUGAAGAGGAACCCAGCGAUGCAGGAAGAUCCCUGUUAGCGCGUGUGGCGUUUUCUUCGUCGAAGAUGGGUUAGGUCCCUCGGCCCUCUGAAAGCUAAGUGGAGGCACGGGGGCUGGGAAGGGGCUGGGAAUCGCAGGGUUGGGGUUAAGUUCUGAUAAGGGCCGUCCAGGAACAGUUCCCCUUGGGUGGGUAAAGUGUCUGGGGACCUUUACAGUGUGAUGCCAGGGUGUGGCGGGCAGGGCAGCUCCAGCCUCUGUCUGCAUUGUGUAGUUUGGGAAGCCUGUCUCGUGACUGUCCGAUGAUCCUGGGGUCUCGUUGCGCUCCAGGCGCACAGCAUGUAUCUCGGGUGCCAUCCCGGGAUCUGGAAUGCCAGUGCCAAUUGGCUUGGUGUCAAUUGGGUCCUGGAUUCUUGUAUCAUCAGCCGAAAGUGUGGGUAGUGGUUUCAUUUUUCAUGUUUCUGGUCAGUUGUGGUUUACGGUGUAGUUCUGGGCCGCAUCAUCAGCGGUUGUGCUCUGUAUGCAUCCAGUCUAUGGGACUGGCACUUUAAGAUGCUGGGAAGAAGUUCUUAGUUUUGCAGCAGCCUUGCGUGUUUGUGCCAGUGCCACCAUUUCUUAAGGGGCCGUGAUGUUGGGCUCU